rnacentral:rRNA from 1 species
GCGUGAGUGAUGAAGGCCUUCGGGUUGUAAAGCUCUUUCACCGAUGACGAUAAUGACGGUAGUCGGAGAAGAAGCCCCGGCUAACUCCGUGCCAGCAGCCGCGGUAAUACGGAGGGGGCUAGCGUUGUUCGGAAUCACUGGGCGUAAAGCGUACGUAGGCGGGUACCCAAGUUGGAGGUGAAAGCCCGGAGCUUAACUCCGGAACUGCCUUCAAAACUGGGUAUCUAGAGGAUGGUAGAGGUGAGUGGAAUUCCGAGUGUAGAGGUGAAAUUCGU